rnacentral:tRNA from 1 species
GCCGGGUUGGUGGAAUUGGCAGACACAGCGCACUCAAAAUGCGCCGCUCGAAAGGGUGUGCGGGUUCGAGUCCCGCACCCGGCACCA